rnacentral:lncRNA from 1 species
GCUUGUGAGAGAUUACAGACUUUGAGCAUAAAGUUGCCAAAGUGCUUACAAUUGACAUCAAAUACAAGGCAAAGUGCCAUUAUGAAAAUGAAUGUCUGCUAAGAUAAAGUGUUUGGGAGACUGCAAAGGACUUGUGCUGAGAUACACUGAACAAUGAGGAAGUGAGGCAACAUCCAUGUUCCAUAUGAAAAGAUUGUCCCUUUCUGACUGCAGACUACAGGAAGAGGGAUUAUUCCAAAAUGAAGGCUCAGUGAACCCAGGCUUUCAACUACUUCUUUGAGGCCUUCCUCAGCAGGCAGUGCAGGAUGCUGCCAGCCACAUCCCCAUAUUAGCACAAGAAGAUACUCCAAAAAGUACUUCACAAACAGGAAUGAUGUGCAGAGUUCCUUGUGCUCCAGACAUAGCCUGGGGUCAGAUCCAUGGCUACAGUACUGGAUCUCAUCUCAAGAGCAACUCAGGUAUGCUCCACCUAAACAGAGCAUGGAGAGCUCUUGUCAUUUUGGAAACUGCACACCAGACUGUGGUACAGAAGGACCACACCUUUGUCUCUUCUACAGGAAGAACAAAGUUUUAAAAAGCAUCCCUGACGUUCCCUGGUUCAAUUGCUCACCUACUGUACAGUUGAGUGAACACUUAAGGAAGUUGCAAAGCAAUGCAGCCUGUCUGGGACAUGAAGGAAUGUAGAGCGGGAUAAUCACAACAUCAUCAACCCAAUUCUCCAAGGCCUAGAGUUAUUCUGCUACUGCUGAUUAUCUGGGAAGGAAUCAAGACUGAUAUCUCCAUCCAUUCAUAGAAGAGUACCACCAAAAUCAGAAUGGUGAAGCCAUUGUUUGCUGUAGAAAACUAGCAGAGCUAUCUGCAAAAAGCUUAAUGACUUACAGCUGGAUGGCUCAGUAAAGUCCUAAUAAUUUCCUGUAAAAUGUAUAGCGUUUAUAAAAAGGAGCUGAAGGAAGGAAAAUGAUGUCCAAAUAAUUCCUAACUUUUCAUUGACACAAAGGAUUUCCUGAGCUGUCAGCACAUUCUUCUGAUCUGUGUCCUUUUCUGCAGUUAGGAAGUCCAGGGUGCCAUUGGCAUCCCUACUCUUUUGAGUGAAGAAAGAAAGGAGAAUAUAGUUUCUGUGCAAAGAAUUCAGCAUCUCUUUUUGAUGUAGUGAAAUUUUUUGAAGUAUCUUAGGAGAGUGUGUUUGAAGCAAGGGGUCUUUGCAACUGGACUACUACAAGCACAUUAUCCCACACUGGUAUAAUGUGAAGUAGUAGAGAUGCUCCCCUUAGUUGCGUAGGAUCACCCCAGAUCCAUAAUCAGAAACGGGAAAUCAUAAUCAAGGAAAGGCCUAAAAAAAGCCUAAGAAAAGGCCACUUUCCAUGAUCUUCUUCUAUAUUAAAUAAAUUUAUUUUGGAAUAAAAACA